rnacentral:tRNA from 1 species
GUGGUGGUUCAGUGGUAAAGCGCUUGCCUGGCACGCAGGAGGCACUGGGUUCGAUCCUCAGCACCACA